rnacentral:rRNA from 1 species
CCUACGGGGGGCUGCAGUGGGGAAUAUUGGACAAUGGGGGGAACCCUGAUCCAGCCAUGCCGCGUGUGUGAAGAAGGCCCUCGGGUUGUAAAGCACUUUCAGUGAGGAAGAACGCCUGGUGGUUAAUACCCAUCAGGAAAGACAUCACUCACAGAAGAAGCACCGGCUAACUCCGUGCCAGCAGCCGCGGUAAUACGGAGGGUGCGAGCGUUAAUCGGAAUUACUGGGCGUAAAGCGCGCGUAGGUGGCUUGAUAAGCCGGUUGUGAAAGCCCCGGGCUCAACCUGGGAACGGCAUCCGGAACUGUCAAGCUAGAGUGCAGGAGAGGAAGGUAGAAUUCCCGGUGUAGCGGUGAAAUGCGUAGAGAUCGGGAGGAAUACCAGUGGCGAAGGCGGCCUUCUGGACUGACACUGACACUGAGGUGCGAAAGUGUGGGUAGCAAACAGGAUUAGAUACCCCAGUAGUC